AGUAAACGGUUAAAGUGUAUCGUCUUUUGUAUGAAGGUGGUGGUAGUGUAUCGUCUUUUGUAUGAAGUUUUCUCGCUAUUUUCCUCGUCUUUCUUGAAGUACAACUUUGUUCGUCCGACCUCGUUCUACCUAAUGUAUUCAUCGACAGAAAGAUUAUCACAGCGUAGUUGCUACUUCCUAUACGUGGAAGUUCUUGGAUAUCCAGGAUAUGGUUUUAAACGAAAUUCUCUUCUCUCAUGAUACACUGAUGCUUCGGGACGUCUGGGUGGAGCAGCUAAAAAAGGAAGAGAUAAAUAGGAGGUAUUUCUGUCAUUGAAAUUCGUAGAUUUUUAAUGAAAUAAGUUAAUUUCAUUUAAAAUAUCACGUUGAUGUUGGAUACCAAGUAAAGUUUCAACGUGCUUCAUGGGACAUGCUAUGCCUACUAUUUCAACUUAUCUGUGGCGUUUUCAAUAUGGGUUUGAAGUAACAGGGUUCAGGGUUUGAAUCGACUUCAGGGCUCCUAUAUCAGUCCAGUAUAUCAAGUGGUUAAAAUGAUAAAAAAAACUUUGGCGAAAAAAAA